UACGUAGGGUGCAAGCGUUGCUCGGAAUUAUUGGGCGUAAAGGGCAAGUAGGUGGUCUCAUUUGUCAGGGGUGAAAGCCUUGGGCUUAACUCAAGAAGUGCCCCUGAAACGGUGAGACUGGAGUACUGGGGAGGGUCGUGGAAUUCCCGGUGUAGCGGUGAAAUGCGUAGAGAUCGGGAGGAACACCAGAGGCGAAGGCGGCGACCUGGACAGUUACUGACACUCAACUGCGAAAGCGUGGGGAGCAAACAGG
rnacentral:rRNA from 1 species